rnacentral:lncRNA from 1 species
UCCUUUGCGGUACUGUCAUCAAUCACCAAAAUUACUUAGGCAUAAACUAUGCCCCAACAUCCACACCAUCUCACCAAUUUGCAGCUCAUUUGGAAAAAGUGACCAAUGUAAUUAUUGCAAACCCUAGAAAUCAACAAAAUUUGUUUUAUUUUGAUCUAGCUAAGCUACACUAUUCUCCUUGAUACACCACUUGGUGUAGA